CAGCAGACCCAGAGCAUCCUCCUCCCCUUCCCUCUCCUCCUGCCCCUCCUCCUCUUCCUCGCUGCCCCACCCACCCCGCCCCAACCACCACCCGCCUCCCCUUGGCUUCCAGCUCAGCAGAAAAGAAAGCUUGACUCUGUCGCAGCACACACCUGUGCCCUGAUCAUGAUAGAGAAGACCAUAUGGCAUGGUGUGAAGAAUGUGAACUCUGGUUUCAGACUACCUAGCUCUGCAGGUUAUUCUGUUGAACAGAUAGACCAUGAUGUCGAUCCAUUUGUCCACCGAGGAACUAGAUAACAUGGUUGAAUACCUCCUGGAGAAGAAAAAAAGAAAAAAGAGGCUUUUCUUUAUUUACCUCACCCUGCCCUACCACCCACCCUGAAAAAGGCUUUUUGUCACUGACCAUGUUUCCCUAGAAGGUGCUGAGGUGAACAGAAAAAUAUUCUUGAGUAGCAUCUCCAAUAAAACAAAAGCUAAAUCACAUUUCUACCACAAGAGGGAAUCCAUUUUAUCAAGGACCGAACCAAAUAACUAGCAUUUCAACAGGGAAUUCGUUGCAGAAACCAUGAACAUUAUAUCUGAACUUUUGGGAUGUUAAAAAAAAAACUACAGGACUUUUGCUUCUGGGAAGAGCAAGCAGACAUGCUUCUCCCUGUUCCUCUAAGCACAACAAAACCCUGGGACGUUAUACACAAAACAGACAUAGGAAGAUUCUGAAAGGUGGAGAGAAGACAGGCUGGCCAGGGGCCCUGGGGCCUGAGCAACAAUAUGGUGGUGAGUUCCCUUAUCUGUUUUCAUUUUUUUAACCUCAUGUUAUCCCAGACCUGGAGCUAAUGAAGCCAGCAACCCGGAAAUGCCAAAAGGCACAGACAAAAAAGGCCCCCUUGAAAACCUGCUGUCUCUAGCCAAGGAUGAAGACAAGAGCAGCCUAACAAGGCAGAAAACAUUCAGACAAUGACUGCUCUGCUCCUGCCAGACACUGGGGAAAACUGGCCCGUCCAGCAGAGGCCGAGCGAGGCCCAGACUUUCUCCCUUGCCAGGCUAUGAUGAGGGGCCCCUCCUCCUUCCUGCCGAGGAGGCCAAGAGCUCAGACUUUCAUUCCUCCUACCUGCUAGGCAGUACCGAGGCCUGAAAUUCUACCUCCACCUGGGUUCACUCCCACUUCCUGCUGGAUGGAUCAGAGGAGGCCCAACAGAGGGUUAGGAUUUCACCACUGCGCAGUGACAAGGGCUUCCCAGGGGGCUCAGCGGUAAACGAAUCCACCUGCCAAAGCGGGAGACACAGAAGAUGCGGGCUCAAUCCCUGAGUGGGGAAGAUCCCUUGGAGAAGAAAAUGGCAACGUACUCCAGAGGAACCUGGCAGGCUACAGUCCGCAGGGCGCAAAGGAUUGGACGCAACUGAGCGCACACGAAAAAGACAAAAAGACGGUGAUAACAGGUCACCUGCACUGCAAUGU
ensembl:lncRNA